rnacentral:rRNA from 1 species
UACAGAGGAGCCAAGCGUUGUCCGGAUUGACUGGGCGUAAAGCGCACGCAGGCGGUUGCGCGCGUGGGGUGUGAAAUCUGGCCGCUUAACGGCCAGGCGCCAUCCCAUACGGCGCGACUGGAGGGCUGCAGAGGUCGAUGGAAUUGCCGGUGUAGUGGUGAAAUGCGUAGAGAUCGGCAGGAACACCCAGGGGGAAACCAGUCGACGUGGGCAGCACCUGACGCUGAGGUGCGAGAGCGUGGGGAGCGAACCGG